rnacentral:rRNA from 1 species
UACGUAGGGGGCGAGCGUUGUCCGGAUUUAUUGGGCGUAAAGAGCUCGUAGGCGGUUUGGUAAGUCGGGUGUGAAAUCUCCACGCUCAACGUGGAGGGGCCACUCGAUACUGCCAUGACUAGAGUCCGGUAGAGGAGCGUGGAAUUCCCGGUGUAGCGGUGAAAUGCGCAGAUAUCGGGAGGAACACCCGUGGCGAAGGCGGCGCUCUGGGCCGGUACUGACGCUGAGGAGCGAAAGCGUGGGGAGCAAACAGG